CUUUCUUUCACUCAGAUGUUCAAGUACGUUUGAGAAUUGAGGUUAAGGCCGCCCCUGGAGUCGACCCAAAUGAUCCUGCAAUCAUGAAUAAACUGUUGGUAGAGAUGGGGAGGAAGUUACAAACAGAUGGUAUUUCCUCGCUCAGCUGGAAAGUGCAGUCCAAUGGAAAAGUCUUCCAGAAGGGAAAUGUAACUGAACCCUGACAGGUCAUUGCUGGAAUACAAAAGAAAACAAGCACACACUCUCUUUUAGGACAUUGGAUGAUACAUUCUUCUAUAUUUAUAAUCUGACCAUUUAAAAAU